rnacentral:lncRNA from 1 species
GUUUAAAUCGUUCAAUUCACUUCUUAUCAUAAAAAUGCAGGGAUUAAUAAAAAUAAAAUAACUAUGUAGUUACUCUAAUUGUUCUUUUUUCAAACUUAACAAGUGGCAAUUGUAAAAAGUUGAGAAGUAACUACAUAUUACUGAUGGAAAGAAAUACAUGGCGAGGACAUAACGAGGUGGAAGAAAAAAUGGCAUAAUAGAAAUGGUGUUGUUGUUAAAGGGGUGA